GAAACGACUGCUAAGACUGGAUAGCAGACAAGAAGGCAUCUUCUUGUUUUUAAAAGACCUAUUAAUAGGUAUGCUUAGGGAGGAGCUUGCGUCACAUUAGUUAGUUGGUGGGGUAAAGGCCUACCAAGACUAUGAUGUGUAGCCGGGCUGAGAGGUUGAACGGCCACAUUGGGACUGAGACACGGCCCAAACUCCUACGGGAGGCAGCAGUAGGGAAUUUUCGGCAAUGGAGGAAACUCUGACCGAGCAACGCCGCGUGAACGAUGAAGUAUUUCGGUACGUAAAGUUCUUUUAUUAGGGAAGAAUAAAUGAUGGAAAAAUCAUUCUGACGGUACCUAAUGAAUAAGCCCCGGCUAACUAUGUGCCAGCAGCCGCGGUAAUACAUAGGGGGCAAGCGUUAUCCGGAAUUAUUGGGCGUAAAGGGUGCGUAGGCUGUUAAAUAAGUUUAUGGUCUAAGUGCAAUGCUCAACAUUGUGAUGCUAUAAAAACUGUUUAGCUAGAGUAAGAUAGAGGCAAGUGGAAUUCCAUGUGUAGUGGUAAAAUGCGUAAAUAUAUGGAGGAACACCAGUAGCGAAGGCGGCUUGCUGGGUCUUUACUGACGCUGAGGCACGAAAGCGUGGGGAGCAAACAGGAUUAGAUACCCUGGUAGUCCACGCCGUAAACGAUGAGUACUAAACGUUGGGUAAAACCAGUGUUGAAGUUAACACAUUAAGUACUCCGCCUGAGUAGUACGUACGCAAGUAUGAAACUUAAAGGAAUUGACGGGACUCCGCACAAGCGGUGGAUCAUGUUGUUUAAUUCGAAGGUACCCGAAAAACCUCACCAGGUCUUGACAUGCUUCUGCAAAGCUGUAGAAACACAGUGGAGGUUAUCAGUUGCACAGGUGGUGCAUGGUUGUCGUCAGCUCGUGUCGUGAGAUGUUGGGUUAAGUCCCGCAACGAGCGCAACCCUUAUUGUUAGUUGCCAGCACGUAAUGGUGGGGACUUUAGCAAGACUGCCAGUGAUAAAUUGGAGGAAGGUGGGGACGACGUCAAAUCAUCAUGCCCCUUAUGACCUGGGCUACAAACGUGAUACAAUGGCUGUUACAAAGGGUAGCUGAAACGCAAGUUUUUGGCGAAUCUCAAAAAAACAGUCUCAGUUCGGAUUGAAGUCUGCAACUCGACUUCAUGAAGUUGGAAUCGCUAGUAAUCGCGAAUCAGCAUGUCGCGGUGAAUACGUUCUCGGGGUUUGUACACACCGCCCGUCA
rnacentral:rRNA from 2 species